CAAGGGCACGACGAGCUUGAUGUUUUCUUGACAUAAGUCAAAUUGCCAACCUCCACUGGGUGGAUUAAGGUUGAGGUAUAGAAUCCUAUUCGCUCCUGAUAGGAGAAAUUCUAUAUUGCUUAUAUAUGUGCUUAUGCACAUAUAUAAAUGCUCAUGCAAAACUUGCAUGAAUGCCCCUAAGGGAGC
rfam:3' end of alfalfa mosaic virus RNA 2.